AUCAUUAUUAACAUUCUGUAUAUAAUUCAAUUUUAUUUACUCUCCCCUUUUUAUUAUUUUUAUUUUUAUUUUUAGCUGAAAAGACAUAAAGGCAGUCAGCCCAGUGGUGUUUCUGGAGAGGGAUUCCUUCAGAAAUGGAGAAGACAGAAAGCUGCGGAGGCAGAUAUAUGCAGCAGAUUGUUUGAGGAUAACGCUGUAGCUCCAUCAUGCACAAGGACUCACCUCGUUUACUCUUUAUCACCCACACACACAGAAAUGGUCCCUGGAUCAGUGAUUAGACUUUGCAGUGGUUUGAUUUUUGCAGAAGAUGUAACUUUGUUUUAAUUAUAAGCUCAUAAUGAAUACAUUACAGAACCAGUGAUGAAAACAAUAGUUAAAAAUAGCGCUCCAUAUUAAAAAUAUAUU